rnacentral:lncRNA from 1 species
UGUAAAGAAAAGAGGGGAAAGAUAUUUCAAUAAAAAUAAUUAAAAUUAAAACAACCAAAGAAAUCCCUAGAAGCCUAAAGAAAAGGGGGGGAAAGAAAUCCCUAGAAGCCGAUGGAAUUCGUGACGGACCCAGACGACCAAGGUUCAGCCAUGGAAGUCGACGAUGUUGACACACCGGAGAUCUUCGGCGAAGGCGUCAUCGUUCCUUUGACGUUUAAAAUCAAUGCUUAGAAUUCAACCUUUCUUUCCUGCUUCGAAUUUGAUAUUAUUAGUAAGGCAAAUGAAUAAAUAAAUAUAAAACUUUUGCUCCUAAAUCAUCUCUUUUGAAUCUGUGCUUCGUUUUCGUUGUUUCUCCGUCUGCUUAUCCACAUCCGAGAAGUGAGCCACCUCUUCUCUUUCUACAAGAUUUCAUUUC